UUUUUUUUUUUUUUUUUUUUUUUUUUAAACACUGAGAGAAGUUUUAAGCUAGGCUCAUUGCUCCUCUUUUAAAAUAUCAUUUGGGGAAGGGAAGACAGGGUUAAGGAACUUUAUGUAAAAAAAAAAAAAUUUUUUUUUUCAAGAAGCCCCACAGACUUUAAAAGGGGAGGAGGGUUCUUCGCCCCGGGAAGCAAUGGCCAUAGCCUGUUUCCAGCUGAGACCUUGCAGCCUGUGUCUGUCACUCUAGGAGGCACUCUUCUGCAGCAGUGGGGGCCUGGAGCCCACAGGAGGGGCUUCCUGGGAGGAAAAUGACAUCAACUGCGGGACACACGGGCUGAGGUCAUAGAGAAGUGCCGAGCAACGCAUCAGGGAUGCGAUGACCCCGGCCUCGGAGAGGAAUACAUCUGCCUUUAACUGCCAGAUCCAGUGAUGAUCUAGACGCCUGCUCAGGGGCUCUCCUAGAGAGCUCUGGCUCUCAGCCACCCCUUUGGCCACUUUUCUCCUGGAAGGGUCCGGCUCCAAGAGUUGGGCGUGGUCUUUGGCUCUGCAGUUGCCUAUCUGCUUCCUGGCUUCACUCUUACCAAAGGUUUUCUUUCAGAGGGGAGAGCAUCACCAUUAGCAGUGACCUGUUGGGCAUUCCCUGUGGUUUCAGGCUGAGUCUGAUGACAGGAAGAUCUGUGUCAGCAGUUACUCCUACCCACUCACCUGCACAAAGAGUCAGGACUCAGCAGUCCACCCAGGAAGCUUCCUUUCCUGACUUCUCUCUCUCCUGGUCCCUCGGAGGACUGAAAGCCACCAAAGCUGGGUCGUUGCGCCCUGCCUGCAUGGCUGGCUGAGGAUCCCUGAGCUCAUUCCCACUUAAGGACCUGCUAUGCGAGGGCAGUGCUAAGCUUGGGCUCAGGCUGUUGGCACUGCAGCGCAGUCCUACCCCAGUGCCACCUGGGAAACCUGAGUAGACUCAGGCCAUGGGGGCAGAGCUGCACAUGUCUCUUGUAGGGAGGCUGGAGGACCAAGGGCCGCAUCUAUUGUUGGGAUGGAUGGAGCUGGAAUAUCAGAGCCAGGCGAGCGGGAGCACGGGCCAUCUGUGUUUAUUCAUUCACUCCUUUCCUCAGCCAGUGGAGUCCUGUCACCCCAUGUACUCUGCUGUCUGUGUGCCCAGAGAAUCCUAACUCAUAGGAUGCACCAGGGUGUCCUAUACCCCUGGCCAACCUGAGGUCUCUUCCACUCACAGAAUUUACUCCGAGAAGCCUGGUGAUGGCGGCUCUCAGUGAUAAGGGAAAAAGGCAUCAGACUUCUAGUUCCUUAGGAAACUCUUAGUUCUCUGUAGGUGCAGCAUGCUCCCAGGUCUCUAGACGAGGUGCCUAGCUGUGUUCCUGAGAGACCUAAGUGCCAGGUAGAGCAAAACCAUGUGGUGGGUGUGAGGCAACCGUAGCAGGUGCGCACACUUCCACAGCUACCUCUCUAUAUCCAGUCACCACCUACAGACAGGCUCCACCCAUCCCCACCCCUCCCCUCCUCAUUUAGAAUCACUUCUUGCAGAGGGCCAUAAUUGUUUCCAAAUAUUACUGGUCUGAUGACUUCCUCCUCCCGGUGCAAUUUUUCACUUCCUCUUCCAGCCUCUGGUUCCUGGGCAGAGCCAUACCCUGGAACUGGCCCAGUCUGCAUGUCUUCCCAGCAGAGGAGGACUCUGCAGACGGCAUCCAAGUGGGUGGCCAAGUCACAGCCGCCAUAGCAGAUGACUCCUAUUUAUUUUGCAUUAAGAUUUUAAUUUGUAUAUUUUUGUGAUUUAUUUUGGCAUUGUUAUGAGUUUGACUCUCGGGGAGUUUUGUUGUUAUGACUCUUGUGUCUUUUGUCACAAAACAAUGAUAAUAUUUGCUAAACAAUAUAUGGACUUUAUUUUUGAUUGGUAAUAAAAAAUGAAAUGUAUAUAAGUUUUGGUGAGC
rnacentral:lncRNA from 1 species